rnacentral:tRNA from 1 species
AGCUAUUUACCUAUAGAAGGAAUUAUGUUUUGAAAACAUUUUUAAGAGGUUAAAUUCCUCUAAUGGCUU